CGCGAGGUAGAGCAGUUGGUAGCUCGUCGGGCUCAUAACCCGGAGGUCGGAGGUUCAAGUCCUCCCCUCGCAA
rnacentral:tRNA from 1 species